AGGUAGUGGUACGACUCGUCCUCCGCCACGUCUCCCAGCCGGCCCAUCGACUGGGCGCGUUUCCGUGCCGACGGGCUGGUGCGGCGCAGCGAGUUGGAGCUGGUGACGGAAACGCGGCUCAUCUCAGAGAUCACAUGACUGAUGUAGUCGCCAUGGCCGAUGAAGCUGCCGCGAACGAUCGUCUGCUGGCGGACAAACGGGAUAACAAGUUAAUUUCAGGCAGCGGUGGCCACACCUCAGAUCGAUGUUGGUGAUCCUGGACGGGUCCACCAGGGGGCGUGGCCUCUUCAGCGUGUCGAUGACGCUCUGCCACUGUGCCGGCAGACCCACGUAGCGUCCCGUCGAGACGUCGAAGGACGUGUGGACGCGGUGCUGGAAGUCCAGCGGCGCCGAGAUCUCCAGCCGGUGCUUCUUCUUCCUGCGCCGGAACAUCGCCACGGAAACGCAGCGCCGGCCGCCGGACCGGACCCAGGGGAAGCGACAAGAAGCGGCGCUGUGAAGGGGAGAGCAGCAGGUGUGACGCCAGCCGAGCCGAGACAUGAUGAGAAGUGGCGGCUGCUCUUCCUGCUCAGGAUACAGAGGAUCAGCUGGUUCCCUGCACACCAGGUGUGUGUGUGUGCGUGUGUGCGUGUGUGUGUGUGUGUGUGUGUGUGUGUGUGUGUUUUCAGGGUGUGACUCGCCAACAUACCAGAGGAAUCUAACUCUACAUGACCAGACAGCUCCUGUCUGACUGGAAACCAGCCUGGAAAUCAGACUGGAACCAGUGAGUGCGCUGUGAGAGCGCCCUCCAGUGGCAGCUGGAGGAUGUUCAUAACUGAAAACACCUGGUCCGGUCCGGUCCGGUCCGGUCCGGUCAGGUGAUCCAUCCGUUAUUUGAGUCUAAAUAUGAAGCUAGAUGUUCUGUACAGCUUGAAGCAACAUUUGAGUUUUAGUUUUAUUUCUCUGCAGGCUGUUUACUGAGAAUAAAACAUGUUUGAUGUUUUUUAUGAGUCCGUUUUGGUCCUGCAGCUUGAAGCAUCAUUUCACUGUAACUUCCCCGACUCCUCCAAAAUUGCUCUGAAAUUUUUCUGUUUAUGGUUCCCCCAUAAUGAGACGGAUUUACGCCGUUGGGACUGGAAAAGGAAGAUUUUAGACCAAACUGGAUUCGCUCUGAAAAAGUCCAGACUCUGCCUCAAGUUAUUUUUACAAGUCAGAUAAACGCAAA